UCCCAAAAGAGCAUCCCUAUUCAUCGCACAUCUCUCGUUUUGCAAUGUUCCCAUCCUUCCACUCACCAGAUGACCCACAUACAGGAGUCAGAGCUGCGUCUCAAUCUUUCCUCAACCUCAGUAUCCCAAAUAGUGCACCUGAUAUCACUCUGCUAAGCAAAACUAAAGGUGCUCCAUAUAGACUUGAGAGCUUAGAAACACCACUGAAAACAAGGAAGAAGGCUGUUAUGUGGACAGGAGAACAUGGCUUUUUUGACCAUGCAAAACCAGCGAAGGGAGAGAGCCAGGUUUUCUACCCCACUCCCCCAAAGAUGCUGCUGCC